GUGCUGCUUCGGCAGCACAUAUACUAAAAUUGGAACGAUACAGAGAAGAUUAGCAUGGCCCCUGCAAAUUCGUGAAGCGUUCCAUAUUUAG
ensembl:snRNA U6 U6 spliceosomal RNA